rfam:Nematostella vectensis strain CH2 x CH6 NEMVEscaffold_350_Cont24646, whole genome shotgun sequence.
ACGAGGAAGGCCGAGUGAUGAAGGCUUUGGACUCAAGUGCCAAUGUACAAAUGUACGCUUGGGUUCCAACCCAAGUCCUGGUA